GUCAAUUUAUCUCAAGUUCGAGCCUACGCUUGAUUAUUUUGCUACUUACAUUUUUAAAAAGCAUGAUAUAAAUACCACAUUUCAGCUGCCCCCAUCCCCAAUUCUUUUGUGCUCUCUCACCAUCAAUUCUCAAACUCUAUCGUUUCGUUCUGAUUUCCACUGCCGAAUUGUUUGCUGGAUCUUCAGGAAAAUGGGUUUUAUUUGAAGUGAAGAUAUGGUUGAUCCUCACAAGGAGUUAUUGGAUGGGAGGAGAACUUCACUCUUUAUGGAGUUGUGAUAGAUACAGAAUAGGUCUUGGGAACCAUAUCACACAUGAACAAUGUGACCAACUCUCCUAAAAUUAGAAGUGCUAUGUCAACAAUAUUUUCACAACAAAUCACAAGUAGUAAGUUAUUAUUGGUUUUAAUUUAAAUUUACCACUUAAAUUACUUAUUUGCUCACUAGUAACAAUAAAUAACAACUUGCUAUCUAAGAUUUGUUGUGAAAGUGUUAUGGACAUAGCUUUUCUCCUCCUAAAAUAGCUAUAAAAGUUGUACCAUGAAAGAAAUAAACUUCAA